GAACAAUAUAAAUAGCGUUCAAAAACUUUUAAGUUUAUUUUAAAUGAAUAAGCUUUGCAUUUUAUCAGCAAAACAAAAUAUUCUUAUCAGAUCCACAUCAAUGUAAACAUUUCAAUUGUUCUGUUUCCUGUACUCAAAUGAAAUUUUGAUAAUAUGGAAACAAAAAAGAAAUAUCCCAUGCGUAGAAUCGUAAAUGCAAAGCUGAAAAAGAUGCUGCCCUUCAGAAGCAGGCAGAUGCAAUACCUCAUUUCAUAAAGAAGAUGAAGAGUACUUCGGACGUAAAUGAUGUUCACAUUCAAUCAGAAUCGAUUACAAAAGAACAGACAUCAUCUAGCCAAAGAACAUCAGCUACAUUGGAUGAAGUUAUUGCAGGAAAGAUUCAUAAAUCUAGCUCUUAUAGCCACUGAAAAUAAAAUCUGUCAAGAGAUAGAUGCAAAAGAAUUUAUAGAAAAAUUUGUAAAUAUGAAAUGCAGUAAAAUAAAUUAUUCUCAAUAAACUGUUAAAAAAAUCAACAAAUGUUUUCUUCAAAACAUACUCCAAUACAAAAAUUUAAAAAGGGGAGGGCGUGACUUCAGUUAUUUUGCAGGCGGGUGCUGGAUAAUCUUGCGUCGGCGCUGGGUAAACCUUUCUUCUCAAAACAAGGAAACCUAAAGGAAAUCAAUCAAAAGAGCAGAAAUUAAUCAUUCAUUGAGUGAGGUAGAAAUAAUCUCUACUCAAAUUACUCAAUCAACAUCUGAAGAAUGGAAGGAAGCUAUUAAAAGCAUGUCUGCCUAUCUUGAUAAAAUAAAAAAGAUAAUGUCCGGAGCACACACACACACACACACAAAAAAAAAGAAACAUUGCGAGAACUGAAAAUUGCCAAAGGUAUUUGGGUUGAAAAACCCACGGGGAAAGGUAAAAAAAAAAAAGGCAAUCUCAAAGGAUGGAGCAAAAUACAGCGUCAAAGACUGCAAAAAGAGACAGACUACCUGCAGGGAGGCUUUUGUGGUGGUCAAGAUGGCUGUACUCAUUGAAGGACAUCCCGAAAACAUUUAUUGGAGGAACAGGCUACAGACCUUGAACUUCUGAUAAUGAAUAAACUAGGUUAAAAAAAAAAAAAAAUAUCGGCUUUCUCACUACCUUCCUUACCUGCAGAUUUCAAGAUUAAUAGCUAUUAAGGUUUUCCUGUUCCUCUUUUUAAUAUUAGAAACCUGUAAUUUUCCUUUGCAUUAAAGAAAUAAUAAAAAUCUAUUUGUAUUUAAUUUAUAGAAAGACAAUUCAUAAAAGAAUAGAAAUUGAAAAAAAUGCAUCUUGGUACUGAUCUGAUAUUUCUUGACAAAAUGUUUAAACAGUACAACAAAGGAAAACAACAUAUUUAAAAAAAAAAAAAUAAUAAUAAUAAUAUUAAUGUUUUCAAUAGGCAAUGAACUGUUAAAUACUGAAUGUUUUAAGUUAUAACAUCAUAGAAAAAUUAAUUAAUUAAUAAAAAUCUUAAAAGUACUAUUUAUUGUUUAUAAUUUACAAUUGUGUAUAUUUUUUACACACCCUAAGAGCUGCGUGUGAUCUCAGGUCAUGAUACAAAUACAAAUUUAUCAAUGCACAAAAAAAAAAAAAAAAAAAAAAAAAAAAAAAAAAAAAAA